rnacentral:misc_RNA from 1 species
UCUCGUGUGAUACACACUUAAGGUAUAACAAUGAAAGUCUGACUAUUUUGCCUGUUUUCAAAAUUAAAUUGAGACUGUUAUCUCAACUGCACCGAUCAAUCAAUCUCCUACGUGUGUUUUCCACUCUACGUGACAUUGGCGGAAUCAACCGUGCUUCUCUGGCACAACUGAAAGCCAUUAAACCAAUCAAUCAAUCACUAUUUUGGUUUGGCUAAUAAACCGCGAUACAAUUUA